GAGAUUCUCCUACCUACGACAAAAAAAAUCUUAUCUAAAAAUUCUUUAAAAUACUAUCUUAAAUAAUAAACAUCAAAAGAUUUUCUAAGAUAUUUUUUUAUGGUUAAUAAGAAAUAUUUGUACCAUGUAAGAAUUUUUUAAAAUUUGAGAUUUUUCUUGUAUAAAUUAUUUACCUUAUAAUAUUCUUUUGAUUGUUCUAAUAUUUUUAAUAAUUUCUUAGAGUCAGGCAAAAAAAAAUAAAAAUUCUUAGAGUGAUAUUCUUUGACCGAAUUCCAUUAAGUGAUUUCCUACAUGUGAAAAAUAUAAUUCAUAUCGAUGAGUAUUAAGACCUUGUUAAGCUUAAAAUUUUUAAAUAUAUAUUUUCCAAGAAAAACAUUUGAUACAACAAUACGAGUGAAAGAUUUUAAUUUUUAUAUAUAAUUUUCAUCAAAAGAAUCUGCAUAAAAAUAUGCAUCAAAACAUUUAAUGAAAUCUUGUUAAAUCUUAUUCUUAUCUAUAUACUUUUUAGAGCAUGAGUCAUUUUUUAAGGCUGAUAUGGUAAUUUCACAUGCUCUUGGAUCAACCCAUUAAGCUCUGGAUCGACCCAGCAUCUUCCUCAUUCAAAUUAACACUAUGAAAAGAUAUUUCGGAUCUUUAUGUGACCCGACCCGGAUAAUACUGGAUAUGCACCAUGUUCUUACCAUAUCAGUAGCGCAGCAUUGAAUGCAAUCCCUUCGAUCAAGCCACUCAUUACGAGCUCAUUCAAAUCAUAUUAAAAUCAGAAUUUAAAAAUAGCAUUAAUCACACAUCCUUGAAUCGUGCCACUAAUCACGACGUCAGUUAGAUUUAAGCUUUGCUACUUAUUUGCAUACGAUAUUCUUAUUAGAUCAAAGCAAAUAAGUUGGAUUUCACAUUCGAAAUCAUUCUUUCUUCCACGCCUGUAAUCGCGACGAGUAUGUUUUUUUGCUUGGCUUCCGAACUGAUUUGUGUUCUCGGACGGAUUUUGGUGCAGUACUACUGAUCUUGGCUUUCUUUACACAUUAAUUUCUCUAUCCACGGAUUUUGCUUUGCGCUUAUUUUCUAUAUUGUAUAAUCAAAUUGUACUUAUCUUGCACAAAUCACGUUGAUCCGUGUAUGCAUCAGGUAGUAUCCGUCUUAAUUUACAAUAUUUGCUACAUUGUGUAUAUUUGUUCAUUCU
rnacentral:lncRNA from 1 species